CUUUCUGGCACUACAAGAUUCUUCAGGCUUGUCUUUUAUAUUUCCUGGUUGAUAUACUUUGGAUGUGUGUCCCCUUUACAUCUUAUGUUGAAAUGUGACCUCCAGUGUUGGAGGUGGGGCCUGUUGGGGAGGUGGGAAGUGACUGGAUCACAAGGGCGGAUCCCUCGUAAAUGGCUUAGUGCUAUCCCCUUGGUGAUGAGUGAGUUCUCAUUCAGUUCACAUGAGAGCUCGUUGUUUAAAGGGAUCCUGGCUCUUCCCUCUGUCUCUUGCUUCUGUUCUCACAAUGUGAUACAUCAGCUCCCCCUUUGCCUUCUGCCGUGACUGGAAGCUUCCCGAGGUCCUCACCAGAAGCACAUGCAGAUGCCAUGCUUCCUGUACAGCCUGCAGAAUCAUGAGCCAAUUAAGCCUCUUUUCUUUAUAAAUCACCCAACCUCGGGUACUUUUUUACAGCAAUGCAGAAAUGGACUAACACACUGGCCCUGUCCUAGAAUCAGCUGCCUCUCCAAAGAGCUCUGUGCUGGUUAAUACUAAAUGCUAACUUGAUUGGACUGAAGGAUGCAAAGUAUUCAUCCUGGGUGUGUCUGUGAGAGUAUUGCCAAAGGAGCUUAACAUUUGAGUCGGUGGGCUGGGAAAGGCAGACCCACCCUUAAUCUGGGUGGGUACCAUCUAAUCAGCUGCCAGUGUGGCCACGACAUAAAGCAGGCAAAAAAACCAUGAAAAGGCUAGACUGGUCUAGCCUUCCAGCCUACAUCUUUCUUCCAUGCUGGAUGCUUCCUGCCCUCAAACAUCAAACUCCAGGUUCUUCAGUUUUGGAACUUGGACUGGCUCUCCUUGCUCCUCAGCUUGCAGAUGACCUACUGUGGGACCUUGUGAUUAUGUGAGCAAAUACUUAAUAAACUCCAUACAUGUGUAUGUAUAUAUAUAUAUACCAUCUGAAUGACAGUACACUAAACAGGACUUUGUACUAAUGUCUCUAACUCAAAUCCGUUUCCACGUGGAUCAUUUUAGUCAUCUCUACUUGCUUAUCUGUAAUCUCCCACCCCAACAAUGAAAACAUUAGCUUCCAUCAUUGCUAAUCUAGGUGAGUACCAUCUAAUCAGCUGCCAGCAUGGCCAGGAUGCUUCCACCAUUGAAUGUGUCCCCCAAAGUUCAUGUGUUGGCAACUUGAUCCUCAACAUGGUGGUGUUGGGAGGUGGGGCCUAAUGGGAGGUGUUUGGGUCAUGGGGGCCCUGCCCUCAUGAUAGAGUAAUGAUAGAAUGGAUUCCUUAUAAAAUAAUAAAUUGGGCUCUCUUUUGGCUGUCUGUUACCUUCUCCUUGCUCAUCUGCUAUGAGAUGGUGCACAAGAAGGCUCUCGCCAGAUGCUGGUCUUGUGAUCUUGGACUUCCCAGCCUCCAGAACUGUUCUACUUGAAUCAUAGUUUCUUUGCUCCUGGGAGACCCCUGCUAUUCCCAGUGAUGCUGCGAACUGGGGUUCAAAGUGGGGUGGCCUGGUGAGGCCUAAAAUCCAUGUCCCGUGGAGAACUGCCUGCAUCCCUUACAGAACCUGCCACAUAUUUCUGCAGCUUCCAAGAGGAAGGCUGGAAUUUACUGAGCUUACUGAAGCCAAUUAUCCCAAGAGUAUGUGAUCCAGAAGCAAGAUAAAGAUCAAAAGGACUCAGCUGGGAUUUGGCCUUCUCCAAGUGGAAGGAAUAAAAUCUGCAAUUGGCUCUGAAAAUAAAAACCAAACAAAAUCUCAGGCAAUCAUAGACAUGGCUCUUUGCUAUUUAUGAGCUUUUCUUUCUUUCUUUUUUUUUUUAAUUUAAACAAAUGUUAAAAGAUUUUUGUGUGGACCUCAGAUUCCAGCUUUACACUGAAACUCAACAUUAGUGUCGAAGCACUUGCAGGCCAUAUGUGCUCCAGCGAGGGUUUGGGAAUGUUGGGUGGUGUUGGUGGGCACCCAUAAUUGCCACUUGCUAUCACGUGAAUGCCUUAGGCAUGACGGAUUGCCAGUGCCCCUCUGAGCAGUCACUUGGAAGCUUUGCCAAAAUAUAAAUAUGUAACAUGAACAGAGGGUGCGUGACUUUUUAACUGCAGUAGCCACCUUUCAGACACCUGAGGCUUUGGUGUCCUCAGUUCCAAAAGCCACACA
rnacentral:lncRNA from 10 species